GGAGGGUUCGCCUAGUGGCCGAUGGCGCUGGUCUUGAAAACCGGUAAGGCAGCAAUGUCUUCGUGGGUUCGAAUCCCACACCCUCCGC
rnacentral:tRNA from 4 species